GAUGAACGCUGGCGGCGUGCUUAACACAUGCAAGUCGAACGGACUUUAAAUGAAGCCUAGCGAUUUUAAAGUUAGUGGCGGACGGGUGAGUAACGCGUGGGUAACCUGCCGUAUACAGGGGGAUAACACUUAGAAAUAGGUGCUAAUACCGCAUAAGCGCACAGCUUUGCAUGAAGUAGUGUGAAAAACUCCGGUGGUAUACGAUGGACCCGCGUCUGAUUAGCUAGUUGGUGAGGUAACGGCCCACCAAGGCGACGAUCAGUAGCCGGCCUGAGAGGGUGAACGGCCACAUUGGGACUGAGACACGGCCCAAACUCCUACGGGAGGCAGCAGUGGGGGAAUAUUGCACAAUGGGGGAAACCCUGAUGCAGCGACGCCGCGUGAACGAAGAAGUAUUCGGUAUGUAAAGUUCUAUCAGCAGGGAAGAAAAUGACGGUACCUGACUAAGAAGCCCCGGNAACUACGUGCCAGCA
rnacentral:rRNA from 1 species